UGGGGAAUAUUGGACAAUGGGCGCAAGCCUGAUCCAGCAAUGCCGCGUGUGUGAAGAAGGCCUUCGGGUUGUAAAGCACUUUUAUCAGGAGCGAAAUACUACCGGCUAAUACCCGGUGGGGCUGACGGUACCUGAGGAAUAAGCACCGGCUAACUUCGUGCCAGCAGCCGCGGUAAUACGAAGGGUGCAAGCGUUAAUCGGAAUUACUGGGCGUAAAGCGUGCGUAGGCGGUUCUUUAAGUCUGCUGUGAAAUCCCCGGGCUCAACCUGGGAAUGGCAGUGGAUACUGGAGAGCUAGAGUGUGUCAGAGGAUGGUGGAAUUCCCGGUGUAGCGGUGAAAUGCGUAGAGAUCGGGAGGAACAUCAGUGGCGAAGGCGGCCAUCUGGGACAACACUGACGCUGAGGCACGAAAGCGUGGGGAGCAAACA
rnacentral:rRNA from 1 species